AGCUUUGCGCAGUGGCAGUAUCGUAGCCCAUGAGGUUUAUCCGAGGCGCGAUUAUUGCUAGUUGAAAACUUUACCCAAUACCCCGUCAUGACGACUUAGUCGGCAUUGGCAAUUUUUGGCGGUCUCUAAGGAGG
ensembl:snRNA U4 U4 spliceosomal RNA